UUACCGAGUUUACAACUCCCAAACCCCUGUGAACAUACCAAUUGUUGCCUCGGCGGAUCAGCCCGCUCCCGGUAAAACGGGACGGCCCGCCAGAGGACCCCUAAACUCUGUUUCUAUAUGUAACUUCUGAGUAAAACCAUAAAUAAAUCAAAACUUUCAACAACGGAUCUCUUGGUUCUGGCAUCGAUGAAGAACGCAGCAAAAUGCGAUAAGUAAUGUGAAUUGCAGAAUUCAGUGAAUCAUCGAAUCUUUGAACGCACAUUGCGCCCGCCAGUAUUCUGGCGGGCAUGCCUGUUCGAGCGUCAUUUCAACCCUCAAGCCCCCGGGUUUGGUGUUGGGGAUCGGCGAGCCCUUGCGGCAAGCCGGCCCCGAAAUCUAGUGGCGGUCUCGCUGCAGCUUCCAUUGCGUAGUAGUAAAACCCUCGCAACUGGUACGCGGCGCGGCCAAGCCGUUAAACCCCCAACUUCUGAAUGUUGACCUCGGAUCAGGUAGGAAUACCCGCUGAACUUAAGCAUAUCA
rnacentral:rRNA from 1 species